AGAACAUAGAAAAAAAGAACAUUAGCCCAUUGAAGGAAGCCACGAGAAGGAAGAGAUGAAAAAUAGGUUUUUUUUUUUAAAGAAAAGUCAAAGAAUAAUAAGAAAAAGAGAUAAGCAUAAAAGUUGCCUGGACCGAACACCGCCCUAUCUACUUAUUGCAAAGAGAUGCAGUAAUGGAAAAUGCAAUGGCAUUUAAAAAGCGCCAUGGGAGUGGUACUUUCUGUCUUUCCAGAAUGAUUUAAGAUGGGAUGAAAAGAUAAUGUUUAAUUUAAGAAAAGGAAGAGCUUGUCUUCAAAAAUGAG